rnacentral:rRNA from 1 species
GACGAACGCUGGCGGCGUGCUUAACACAUGCAAGUCGAACGAAGUGGCGAACGGGUGAGUAACGCGUAAUCAACCUGCCCUUCAGAGGGGGACAACAGUUGGAAACGACUGCUAAUACCGCAUACUGAAGAGGGGGAUUGCGUUCGAUUGGCUAGUUGGGGGGGUAACGGCCCACCAAGGCGAGGGUCAGUAGCCGGGCUGAGAGGAUGAACGGCCACAUUGGGACUGAGACACGGCCCAGACUCCUACGGGAGGCAGCAGUUGGGAAACUUCCGCAAUGGACGAAAGUCUGACGGAGCAACGCCGCGUGGGUGAUGACGGCCUUCGGGUUGUAAAGCUCUGUUAAUCGGGACGCGGUACCGGAAUAGAAAGCCACGGCUAACUACGUGCCAGCAGCCGCGGUAAUAC